UCUUGGUCAUUUAGAGGAAGUAAAAGUCGUAACAAGGUUUCCGUAGGUGAACCUGCGGAAGGAUCAUUACAGAAAGUAAACGCGGGUCAAACCGUGAACUUUUAAACCUUUGACGAUUGACUCAUGUUGCCUCGGCGGGCUCGCCCGCCAGAGGAUACAUUAAAACUCCUGUUUUAACGGCGUUGUCUGAGCUAUAAGCAACGAAUCAAAACUUUCAACAACGGAUCUCUUGGUUCUGGCAUCGAUGAAGAACGCAGCGAAAUGCGAUAAGUAGUGUGAAUUGCAGAAUUCAGUGAAUCAUCGAAUCUUUGAACGCACAUUGCGCCCCUUGGUAUCCCGAGGGGCAUGCCUGUUCGAGCGUCAUUACACCACUCAAGCCUAGCUUGGUGUUGGGCGACGUCCCCUUUGGGGACGCGCCUUGAAAUGCUCGGCGGCGUGGCACCGGCUUUAAGCGUAGCAGAAUCUUUCGCUUCGAAAGUCGGGGCCCCGCCUGCCGGAAGACCUACUCACAAGGUUGACCUCGGAUCAGGCAGGGAUACCCGCUGAACUUAAGCAUAUCA
rnacentral:misc_RNA from 1 species